rnacentral:rRNA from 1 species
AGAGUUUGAUCCUGGCUCAGAAUGAACGUUGGCGGCGUGGAUUAGGCAUGCAAGUCGAGCGAGAACCCCGCAAGGGGGGACAGCGGCAAACGGGGUAGUAACGGGUAGGUGACGUACCCUCGGGUCGGGGAUAGCCACGGGAAACUGUGGGUAAUACCCGAUAACCUCCUGAAGCGUGAUGGUUUCGGGAGCAAAGGUGUGAUUCCACCGGAGGAGCGGCCUGCUUCGUAUUAGCUAGUUGGUGAGGUAACGGCUCACCAAGGCGACGAUGCGUCGGGGGUGUGAGAGCAUGACCCCCACCACUGGGACUGAGAUACUGCCCAGACACCUACGGGUGGCUGCAGUCGAGAAUCUUCGGCAAUGGGCGCAAGCCUGACCGAGCGACGCCGCGUGUGGGAUGAAGGCCCUUGGGUUGUAAACCACUGUCAGAGGGGAUGAAAUGCACGCCAGCAAUCUGGUGUGUUUGACAUAGCCUCAGAGGAAGCACGGGCUAAGUUCGUGCCAGCCGCCGCGGUAAUAC